UAUAUACACACAUUUACAUAUAGGAUUUGCUUCAACUUUUCAUACUCAUUUUUAAGAAUGUGUCUACUGAAGUUGGUGGAUUAUAAACCAUUUUGAAAUAUAAACACUUUCAUGAAGUUUUUUUGAAAAAUAUUUUUUAAAUAUUUAAGAAUAGCUCAUAAUUUUGCUACAGAACUGUCGCUCUAUCUAAAACUGAUUUGCAGCUGCUGGCAUAAAAAGGAAAGGUUCAUGGGAGGCCAGUGCCUGUGGGGCUUUUGUGUUGGGAUCUUUCCACACGGCUCAGAAUCUCUCUAGGAGUUGCUACCUCUCUUUAAAUUGCUGCAUUGUCUGCUUUUGUGCUGGCCAGCUGUGACAGAUCAUUUGUGUUCUGUUCUUUUUUAAUAUUUACAUUUUGUUUUGUUUUCCAGAAAUUGUUUAAAUUGCAUUACAGCAAAAACAAGUCCGGGCCCUUUUUAAGGAACAAAAGGAAUUGGACUGGGAGCCCAGGGGACUCCUUUGAAAGCUCCUCCCCAGCUUCCCACCGACAUAGUUUCCCUUAGACUUUGAGCAUUUGAGCUCCAUUGGGGGAAGCUCUUCAAGGACAUGGCCUUCUGAUGGAGCCAGGAGAAGCUGGGAGAAUAGGAAGGCCGGAAGAGAGGGAGAGAGGUAGGGGAACUGGCAGUGAGUGGAGAAGUCAGAACACAGGCA